ACAUUUCUCCCUUUCGUCUGAACAUUCGAAACCCUAUCGGAGCAGAGGCCGUCAAUUUCUCAUCCAAAAAACGCUCGAACGCAUUGCGCCACUCGCCAUCGUUGACCUCCGCAGCUUCGUUGUCGCCGUAGCAGACUCGCGCCGCUCCCCGUCUGUCACUCUCUCCGAGUCUGAACUCGCUCUCAGAGAGGACCUCCAAUCGAUCCCUCUCCAAGUCGACAGCCUCGUCCUCAGCUUUAUCCUAGGACUACACUUUGCAGUUAUGGAUCAGUUGAGUUUGCAGAGUAAGAGAAAGAAGAGGAAAGUCGUCGCUCUAACUUUCUGUAUUCAAAUGUGUACUAUAGUAAGGGGUUUGAUGGGAAUAAUGUUAGAAUUAGAUGCUCUAUAUGGUCCUAAACCAAGCAGUAGGUCGUACGAGUUAAAAUAUUAUAGGAGGAGGGAUCAUAUUAGGAGGCUUGUGUAUGCGGAUGACGUUACUUGUACUGAACAACUAAGAAUGGAUAGGAAUGCAUUUUUCAAAUUGUGUCAUAUGCUUCAAGAAAUUGGGGGUCUGAAAAAUACAAGAAAUAUGCAUGUUGAUGAACAAGUGGCAAUGUUUUUAUAUGUAUUGGCUCAUCAUUUUAAGAAUCGAGUCAUUAAACACUAGUUUAGUAGAUCGGGUGAAACUGUAAGCCGAUAUUUCCACAAUGUUCUCAAAGCCACUUUAUGUCUACAAGCUCAUUUGUAUAAGAAGCCACAACCAAUAGCUGGUAAUUCAGAGGACCAACGAUGGAAGUGGUUUAAGGUACCUAAACAAAAGUCAAAUUUUGUAAAUUUAGGGAGCUAAUAUGGUGCUAACAUUACAUUUUGGUUCAAUGUAGAAUUGUCUAGGUGCUCUAGACGGGACGUAUAUCAAAAUCAAAGUGCCCGAGGUUGAUAAGCCUAGAUACAGAACUCGUAAAGGUGACAUAGCAACCAAUGUGUUAGGAGUUUGUACUCCAGAUAUGCAAUUCGCAUAUGUCCUUCAUGGAUGGGAGGGUUUUGCAGCUGAUGAGAGGGUAUUACGGGAUGCUAUUUCUAGGGAACAUGGACUUAGGGUGCCAACUGGUGAGUAUAAUAAUUUUUUGACAUUCUUAAUAUUAAAAAUGAAAAGCUUAAUAACAUACAAAGUAAUCUAGGUUUUUUUCCCUCUUUUUGACUAUAGGUUGUUAUUAUUUCGUUGAUGCUGGUUAUACGAACUGUGAGGGCUUUUUGGCACCCUUUAGAGGUCAAAGGUAUCACCUCAAUGAGUAGCGUCAAGGACAUCGACCGAGAAAUGAUGAGGAGCUUUUCAAUUUGAGACAUGCCUCUGCUCGUAAUGUUAUUGAAAGGUGUUCCGACUUGCUUAAGAUUCGAUGGGCGAUUCUUAGAAGUCCGUCAUUUUAUCAUGUUAGGGUUCACAAUAGAAUUAUAAUUGCUUGUUGCCUAUUGCAUAAUUUCAUUAGGAGAGAGAUGGCUUUUGAUCUUAUGGAAUACCAACUGAAUGAAACGGAUGUUGACAACCCUAAUGAGGAUGGUGAUCAUAUUUUUGAUAUUCAAACAUCAAAUGUUUGGAGUAAUUGGAGGAAAGAGUUGGCAACUGAGAUGUUUAAUGAGUGGAACUCAUCCACUACUUAGAUAGAUGUUGUGAUUGGGAAUUGUAAUGUAAACUUUGAGUUGUUUUUUCAUCCACUACUUAGAUAGAUUUGCUUGGUAUUGUAAGUUGUAUUGUCAUUGCUUUCUGAAGACAAUGUUAUGAAUCUAUUUCAAUGCACUUUCGGUUUGAUUUUCUGAAAGUCUUAUGUGCCAUAUUAUAUGUAGAUAUGUAUCCUUUUUGCAUAUAUUCGGUUAAAUACAGGUUCUUAUUGCCAUUUCAUGUAUGUGUUAUUGGUAUAGAAAAUGGAAGGUAGUUUUGCUUCUGUUACUUCCCAGGUGAGCAAGAGUGGCAAAAGGAAAUGGACAUUAGCUGAGGAUGCAAUCCUCGUCUCUUGCAUGAUUGACCUACGGAAUAUGGGUACCCACAAUGCUAACACAGGGUUUAAGUCUGGCUACUUGCCAGAACUUGAGAAAAUGCUAUUGGAAAAGCUCCCUAAUUGUGGUAUCAAGGUGAGACCUCACAUUGAAUCUCGAUUGAAGACACUGAAGAGGGAAUGAGCUAUCGUGUAUGAUAUGAUGCUUAAUACAAAUGGCUUUGGAUGGGACUCAACACGGAAGAUGGUCACGGCGGAAGACGAUGUCUGGGAGACUUAAGAAGCGGCAAUAAAGACAUCAUCUAUUUAUUUCGAUACUCUAUCGUUAUGCUUAUAUAUAAUAUCACUAACACUCUAUUCUUUCUGUUUUUAGACUUACAAAGAAGCUGCUCCAUUUAGAAUGAGAAGUUUUCCCCAUUUCGAAGAAUUAUCUAUGAUAUAUGCGAAGGAUUGAGCCACUGGAAAAGAUGCUUAAGCUGUUGAAGAUAUUCUGCAAGAGCUCAAGAUUGAAGAUUUAACUGGAGUAGCAAUACCAAUACCCCUACAUCGGGAGAUGUUUCGCGUGCUCAUCAACCACCUACAUAUGCAAAGGCAAGUGCUUCUUCAGGAAAAAAAAAAGGAAAAAGGGUGAAUCUGACUUCUCCACAAUUUCUCAGAGCUUGAAUACAAUGGCAACCGAAAUGAAAAAAGCUUGCAUGAUGAUCUCAAAGAGUAUUCACUCAGACAUUUAUCAAGAUAAGUUCCUUGAACUUCCGAGAGCUCUUCGUAAUGUUGAUGGUCUGACUUCAGCACAAGUUCGGUAACCAUCCGAAUUAUAUGCUACUUUUCUUUGGUACCGAGCCAGAAUAUCGCUUGGAAUUGGUGUAGGAUUUCCUUGCGAAUCGAGCACCGCCUUCUACGUCUAUGUAGACGACGAGCUUGUCGGGAGUGGCGAGUAUCGGCCCAAGAAGGAGAUUGCGAUCAACAGGGCCGCUAAGAAUGCCUUGGAAAAAUUGGAGAUCCUCGGUGAUCAGUUGAAGAACAGUUCUGUCGCGGAUGGGUCAUGAUCAUCAUCAACGAUUAUCAACUAAUUCUACUUAGAUUGGAUUAAGGUCGCUUUUUUUUUAUUUGUUUAAAUUAUGUUUAAUUAUUUUGUAGCUUAUGGUUGGUCCACUUGUGAUUUAUUAGUUUGCUAAGGCGUCUUUGUAAUCAAAACUAUUGGACUUAACUACGACCGAUGCAAUUUCUUUUGGUUAAGACAAUAGAAAAAUUCAUUUUAAA